GAUGAACGCUAGCUACAGGCUUAACACAUGCAAGUCGAGGGGAAACGAUAUUGGAAGCUUGCUUCCGAUAGGCGUCGACCGGCGCACGGGUGAGUAACGCGUAUCCAACCUGCCCACCACUUGGGGAUAACCUUGCGAAAGUAAGACUAAUACCCAAUGACGUCUCUAGAAGACAUCUGAAAGAGAUUAAAGAUUUAUCGGUGAUGGAUGGGGAUGCGUCUGAUUAGCUUGUUGGCGGGGUAACGGCCCACCAAGGCGACGAUCAGUAGGGGUUCUGAGAGGAAGGUCCCCCACAUUGGAACUGAGACACGGUCCAAACUCCUACGGGAGGCAGCAGUGAGGAAUAUUGGUCAAUGGGCGAGAGCCUGAACCAGCCAAGUAGCGUGCAGGAUGACGGCCCUAUGGGUUGUAAACUGCUUUUAUAAGGGAAUAAAGUUAGUCUCGUGAGACUUUUUGCAUGUACCUUAUGAAUAAGGACGGGCUAAUUCCGUG
rnacentral:rRNA from 1 species